GACUAACGCUGGCGGUAUGCCUUAGACAUGCAAGUCGAACGAGUUUCCGGGCUUGCUUGGAAGCUAGUGGCGAACGGCUGAGUAACGCGUAGGUGACCUACCCCGUAGUGUGGAAUAACUGCCCGAAAGGGUAGCUAAUACCGCAUGUUGAGCCGACUUCACUGUUGUCUCCAAAGCAGAAAUGCGCUAUGGGCGGGGCCUGCGUUUGAUUAGCUAGUUGGUGGGGUAACGGCUCACCAAGGCGACGAUCGAUAGGUGGUUUGAGAGGACGAUCACCCAGACUGGGACUGAGACACGGCCCAGACUCCUACGGGAGGCAGCAGUUGGGAAUUUUGCGCAAUGGGGGAAACCCUGACGCAGCAAUACCGCGUGUGGGAUGAAGGCCUUCGGGUUGUAAACCACUUUUUUUGGGGACGAUAAUGACGGUACCCGAAGAAUAAGCCACGGCUAACUACGUG
rnacentral:rRNA from 1 species